UACGGAGGGUGCAAGCGUUAUCCGGAUUCACUGGGUUUAAAGGGUGCGUAGGUGGGUUGGUAAGUCAGUGGUGAAAUCUCCGAGCUUAACUUGGAAACUGCCAUUGAUACUAUCAGUCUUGAAUAUUGUGGAGGUCAGCGGAAUAUGUCAUGUAGCGGUGAAAUGCUUAGAUAUGACAUAGAACACCAAUUGCGAAGGCAGCUGGUUACACAUAUAUUGACACUGAGGCACGAAAGCGUGGGGAUCAAACAGG
rnacentral:rRNA from 1 species